rnacentral:rRNA from 1 species
AGCAGCCGCGGUAAUUCCAGCUCCAAUAGCGUAUAUUAAAGUUGUUACAGUUAAAAAGCUCGUAGUUGAAUUUCGGGGUUAGUAGGUUGGUCAUGCCUCCGGUAUGUACUGAUCUCACUGAUUCCUCCUUCCUUAUGAACCGUAAUGCCAUUAAUUUGGUGUUGCGGGGAAUUUGGACUGUUACUUUGAAAAAUUAGAGUGUUUAAAGCAGGCUAACGCUUGAAUACAUUAGCAUGGAAUAAUGAAAUAGGACGUUCGAUCUUAUUUUGUUGGUUUCUAGGAUUGACGUAAUGAUUAAUAGGGAUAGUUGGGGGCAUUAGUAUUCAAUUGUCAGAGGUGAAAUUCUUGGAUUUAUUGAAGACUAAUUACUGCGAAAGCAUUUGCCAAGGAUGUUUUCAUUAAUCAAGACGAAAGUUAGGGGAUCGAAGACGAUCAGAUACCGUCGUAGUC